GACUUGCUGCCCCUAGAAGAACCGUUCACCGAGGACGAGAUUUGGCUCGCAGUCAAGAAAAUGCCCACAGGCAAGGCACCCGGCGCCGACGGGUUUAUAGUGGAGUUCCUGUGCUCCUGCUGGGCCAUCGUCAAAGAUGAUAUCUGCGCCGCCUUCGAAAAAUUGUAUGCCAUGAAUGGCAUGGGCUUUCGCAAGCUUAACGAAGCGCUCCUCUCCCUCCUUCCCAAGAAGCAAGAUGCGUCCACCAUCUCCGACUACAGGUCGACCAGCCUUAUCCACUUGAUCGCCAAGCUCUUCGCCAAGGUCUUAUCCCUUCGGCUUGCGCCACGCCUCCAAGACCUUGUCUCCACUAACCAGAGCACGUUCAUCGCUGGGAGGAGUGUCCACGACAACUUCUUCCUGGUCCAGCAAACCGCGAGACUGCUCCAC
rnacentral:rRNA from 1 species